rnacentral:rRNA from 1 species
AGUGAACGCUGGCGGCGUGCUUAACACAUGCAAGUCGAACGAGAACGGGUUAUAGCUUGCUAUAAUUGUCAGCUAAGUGGCGCACGGGUGAGUAAUGUAUAGGUAAUAUGCCUCUUACUAAGGGAUAACAAAUGGAAACGUUUGCUAAUACCUUAUACUCCUUAUUAACAUAAGUUAAUAAGGGAAAGAUUUAUUGGUAAGAGAUUAGCCUGUAUUGUAUCAGUUAGUUGGUGGGGUAAUGGCUUACCAAGACUAUGACACAUAACUGGUUUGAGAGGAUGAUCAGUCACACUGGAACUGAGACACGGUCCAGACUCCUACGGGAGGCAGCAGUGGGGAAUAUUGCACAAUGGACGAAAGUCUGAUGCAGCAACGCCGCGUGGAGGAUGACACAUUUCGGUGCGUAAACUCCUUUUAUAUGAGAAGAUAAUGACGGUAUUAUAUGAAUAAGCACCGGCUAACUCCGUGCCAGCCGCCGCGGUAA